AAUAUUACAAUUUAAACACUCCGGUCAAAUUAACGGUUAGUGUUUAAGGUUUCGAGUUUAAUACAUUAAAGAGAGAAACCCUAAGGAAUUCGUCAGUCGGAAACCCUAAGCGUUCGCUAUAACAUACUGAUGCUCUGUCUACUCCCUUCGAGAAAUGUUUAAUGGCUGAUACGCAUUGUGUGUACGUGGUUUAGAUCUUUUUAUAUUCUCUUCAAUAUUGGUUGGGGUUUUGGCCUUUUGGUACCUCGGGUUCCCUUAUUUGUGAGGAUCUGAGCGCGCCUGAGAGAGGCCUAAAUUUUAGCAGGCUUUGUUGAGUCGCUGUAUUUAGGGAAAAUUUCUUUCGUACAAGCGAAUGUUGUCCUGCAAAAUCUGUUUUAUAGUAGACAAUGAAGGGUUCUUAUGCGAAUCUUUUAUUUCUGGCCCUAUGAUGUCAUGUAAUCUUUGAGACCUGAACUUUCGAUGUUGAAAAUUAGCAUUUGCUGAGGGCCAAAUAUCAUAACUAUGUUGUUUUUUAGCUUUAUUCCUUCAAGUAUGGCGGCGUAAUUUUAUUUUCGUUUCUUGCAUUAUUUUACUUUUCUUGUGUCUGAAGUCCAACUUUCCAGAAGGGCAUACGUCCGUUGUAUCUACUACAAUCUGCAGUCUUAUGGCUCCUAGCCAUGGGUUUCGAAUGCUUGCUCAAGCUCAAAAUUUGCUGGUGUUUGGAAUGUUGGUGGGUUUUUGUAAGGUGCAGAAUUGGAGUACAUACUCCAUCCUCUCAGUUCAACCCAACUGAUUGGGUGCAAAGGAAACAAGAGACACAAGUCAGAACUUGUGUCUCUUGUCACAUAAGAGACUUGAGUACAAUGAGGGGGUGACAAAGAAUUGGGAUCUAACUUUCGAGUGUGCCAAUUUAGAUGCUACAAUUGUAUAGCUUGCCAAACUCUCUGUAGAUGUGGCAACUUUGUACAUGACGUUGCUAGUGGGAGUGGCACUAUAGCUGAUUGUGGUUCAAAUGAAAUUGAAUCAAAUGUUGACUUUGAUGUUCUUGAUGAAGAAAAAUACAAGGAUUGUUAAA